UAAUAAAAAUCAACCCAAGCGUUGGUUUCCUUCCAUAGUUUCUGUAGGUAUUAUAAAGGACAUAAGGCAUCAGUCAACAGCGUUUGUUUUUAUUAAAGUUACCGUAACAUUUACGCUUAGUGGUCGUUAAUACGUUCAACGUGGGAGUUUGUUCAUUUAUAAAAACGAAAACCAUGGGUCUUUUCCAAGCAGUACAAUUUGUAUUUCUCAUCGUCUCCAUUACAUACCACACUGUAUUGGGGAUACCAUUCAGUAGAAGUCUUCACACAAGUUCAAGAGCGAUUUGCCCAUCGGAAGAUUUUGCCUUGAUUCCAGCAGAAAAAUGUAAUCAAUUCUACCUUUGCUCACAAGGAGAAUCAACCUUGCUGGAUUGUGAUGUUGGAGAAAACUUCAAUCCAAAUAUCUCUCUGUGUGAUGCAAAUUACGAAUGUGUCAAUGAGCCUGAACCAACGACUACGGAGCCUCCGACAACAACAACGACAGCAGCAACAACAUCUGCUCCCACUACCACCAUCCCAACUGUUACGCCGCCUUCUGAAGGAUUCCUGGCCGUUCUAUUGCCUAUGGAGCUCUGUCCACCCCAAGGAGUCGCUUAUCGCAUUCAUGGCCAGAACUGUCGACUUUUCUACUACUGUCGAGAUGGUUUCGAGCGAUUACAGUCGUGUUCAGCUUUUCGGAGAUUCGACGUGUUUACUGGGCAAUGUCUGCUCACCCACGAAGCAACGUGCUACCCCGGUACGGAACUUUUCGAUGACAGAGAUGUGGAAUAUGACGCAGAGGGAAAUGUGUUUGUCUAGCUUUUUUCAGUAAACUAGGAAUUCCGGUCCGACCAGAUUUCUUUUGACACUCCCAAAUAGUUUUAGAAUUAAGGCACUGUAUGAGCAAGAAUAGUGUGUCGAAUCCCAUUAUUUUCAAAUAUAGAUAUUAUCAAUAGUACUUUAAAACAUAAUGUGUGAUUUCAUAACAAUAAGAGAACGGUUGUCUAUAAUGUGAAAUGAUGAGAAUAUGCAAUGUUCAAUUAUUAUUUAGAAA